AAGACGACGCCUUUACUCGGCUGAUCACCCGAGAAGAUUUCACGAAUGGAAUACGCCGAGAAAGUCUCAAAUCACAUUUGUUGCUAAAUUUCAUCUCCAUAUACUGCUUUUUGGUCGACCUCUUCAAACGCUCCAUGGACUUUCUGGUCUUCUGUCCCAUAGAGUACCCAUCAAACAAUUGUUGCAUUUUGAUAGUACUUACUUCAUACAUAACAUAUAUUUGAGUUACAAAUUUGUUGGAGGUAUGCCAACUCUGCCAUAUUGUUUUGUGCAACAAAAAGCAUCCAUCAAUCGCACAUACUGCACUAAUUGCAGGUGAAGUUGACAAAAAUUGACUUGGCUCCCAUUAACACACUGAAAGCCCCUGCUCCUGAAAGGCCUGUUCAGCUUAUCUCUCGCAAGUGCCAGACAGACAGGCAAGGCUGGUGUGGGUGUAAGUGAGCAGAGCUGUUCUGCACGAAACUGUGCCAGCAAUGUGAAUAGUCUUCUUGAGCACCAACAAGAAAGUUGAUGUACGAGACAAAGACAAACUGGAUGAGCAAUUCACACUACCACUGCUGAGUUGAACAACUAACACUUCAUUGCGGACGUUCCACAGUUGCUGACACUUUGCCUGGAACUUUCAUUGCCCAAGGUCCUUCACCUGGACCUUCUAGUGCCCAAGAAACACUGCCAGGCAAAGGAAGAUGGAGAACCAACUUGAAGUGAUGACCUAUCCUGGGCUCAACAUUCACUCAUUUCACGACGCAGGUACAC